GCCAGUGUGAUAUAAUGGUUUGAGCAGUGGAUUAUUAUUCUAGAGACCAGGGUUCAAAUCCCUGCUCGCCA